UACGUAGGGUGCAAGCGUUAAUCGGAAUUACUGGGCGUAAAGCGUGCGCAGGCGGUUGUGCAAGACAGGUGAGAAAUCCCCGGGCUUAACCUGGGAACUGCACUUGUGACUGCACAGCUGGAGCACGGCAGAGGGGGAUGGAAUUCCGCGUGUAGCAGUGAAAUGCGUAGAUAUGCGGAGGAACACUGAUGGCGAAGGCAGUCCCCUGGGCCUGUACUGACGCUCAUGCACGAAAGCGUGGGGAGCAAACGGG
rnacentral:rRNA from 1 species